UAUUUUGACUAUACAAAGGUAUUGUAAUAAGAUUUUAAUUGAAUGCUAAAAGAAUGGAAAUUUAAAAAAAAACUUUUUUAAAAAUAAAAAUUGAAUUUUUUUUAAUUUGUGCAAAAACAAUUAUUAUUAUUAAAGACAAGAAGACCCUAAGAAUUUAUGAUUUUGCAAUUAGAAUUUUUUUCAAAAAAUCUUGAUUGGGGCGAUCAAAAAAUAUUAAUAACUUUUUAAAUUUAAAUUGAUCUAUUAUUAAUAAACUAAUGAAUUAAAUA
rnacentral:rRNA from 1 species